rnacentral:piRNA from 1 species
UGCCAUCCUCAUAAACAACGCUAGGUU